UAGUGCUAUAUAAAAAUAAUAAAAUAAAAUAAACCAUCUGAACUAGUGGCCGCAAUGAUAUAUAGGUCUAACAAACUUUUAUUUUAUGACCCCCAAAUAAACAAAUUAGUGCAAUAACGAAGUUAGCUUUCUUGUGUUUUUGAAAAGCUGUGUGUAAAGUUGAUGCACUUUGUUUUAAAUGCAUAAUGUCAUAGUUUUUGAAACAGAUCUAAUUUUUUCUAUUUGUGAUGUGUGCCUUACUUUUCUAGAAGAUGUCUCAUUUGCCAUGAGUAGGGCCCUAUAAAUUAUGCGGAAAUUUUUUAAAAAUUAUGCGGCUAGGAUGCGGCGAUUUUUAAAAAUUAUGCGUCAAGGAUGCGGUGUCUUUUAAAAAUUAUGCAUGCAGAAGUUAGUCCAGAAGCUGCGUUUUCUUUCAAACUCUGUCUUUGUUUUGUAAAAAUUUGGCCGUAGCAGGAUACAGCUCUUUCACAAUCUACUGAAUUAGGAAGCACUGAGAGCACUUGUUUUGCUUUUUUUGUAAGUUCUGGAAAUCUCUCUGAGACUACCUCUGAAUUCCAGAAUCUAAUUAAGUCCUGGUUUGAACAUUCUUUUACAUAUUCUUUGUAAGCAGCAUACUCGAGUUUUAUAUCUUGACCACUCAUUCCUGGAAUAUUCUUGAAUACAUCGUCGUCUUCAAUAUUGAGGUUGACUAUUUGUUCUGGAUCGAAAACUCGAGCAGCUUUCAAGAAGUUUGAUGCAGGUUGACUAAACUUGGGCUCGCGUUUUUUGAGUACGUCUAGUUCUGGAGACUAUUAAGUAUUCAAAUUUGCAAUUGUUUUGUGAAACACUUCUUGAAGAAAUACAUUGCUUGAAUCUUUUCGUGAGUAUGAUGCCUGAGAAUUACAUCGAAGUUUAGACAGUAGAUCAAAAAUCUUAUUGUAAGCUUUGUGAAUAGAUACAC